CCUACGUGCGGCUGCAGUGAGGAAUAUUGGUCAAUGGGCGCGAGCCUGAACCAGCCAAGUAGCGUGAAGGAUGACUGCCCUACGGGUUGUAAACUUCUUUUAUAAAGGAAUAAAGUGAGGCACGUGUGCCUUUUUGUAUGUACUUUAUGAAUAAGGAUCGGCUAACUUCGUGCCAGCAGCCGCAGUAAUACGGAGGAUCAGAGCGUUAUCCGGAUUUAUUGGGUUUAAAGGGAGCGUAGAUGGGUUGUUAAGUCAGUUGUGAAAGUUUGCGGCUCAACCGUAAAAUUGCAAUUGAUACUGGCAGUCUUGAGUACAGUUGAGGUAGGCGGAAUUCGUGGUGUAGCGGUGAAAUGCUUAGAUAUCACGAAGAACUCCGAUUGCGAAGGCAGCUUACUAAACUGCCACUGACAUUGAUGCUCGAAAGUGUGGGUAUCAAACAGGAUUAGAUACCCUUGUAGUC
rnacentral:rRNA from 1 species